rnacentral:rRNA from 1 species
CUUGUAGGUGGUUUGUCGCGUUGUUCGUGAAAUGCCACAGCUUAACUGUGGGCGUGCGGGCGAUACGGGCAGACUGGAGUACUGCAGGGGAGACUGGAACUCCUGGUGUAGCGGUGGAAUGCGCAGAUAUCAGGAGGAACACCGGUGGCGAAGGCGGGUCUCUGGGCAGUAACUGACGCUGAGGAGCGAAAGCGUGGGGAGCGAACA